rnacentral:misc_RNA from 1 species
GAACAGAGUCGGACCCUUUUGAGCCCACCUUCCUUCCCCUUUCCUCAUCAAUGUCAUCGUCUUCAUUUUCAUCUCCACGAAUUUGAUCGUCGUAGUCAUCAUCUUCAUCCUCUUCUUCACCACCACCGCCAAUCCUCCUCUUCUUCAAUGGCUUCCUCUCUGGUUCGUCUUCCUCCCCUUCCGACGCCGACGAGCCAUACU